rnacentral:snoRNA from 1 species
CAUGGUGAUGACAAAUGUCUUUGAACAUCCAAAGUGACUAGUUACGACGAUGAUGUCUACUAAUUAACCAUCUUUCGGGACUGAUA